GAUGAAUAACGCAGCGAAAUGCGAUACGUAAUGUGAAUUGCAGAAUUCAGUGAAUCAUCGAAUCUUUGAACGCAUAUUGCGCUCUCUGGUAUUCCGGAGAGCAUGCUUGUUUGAGUAUCAGUAAACACCUCAACUUCCAUAUCUUUUUUGAAAUGGGAGUUGGACUUGAGUGAUCCCAACGCUUUUCCUCACCGAAAAGUGGCGGGUUACUUGAAAUGCAGGUGCAGCUGGACUUUUCUCUGAGCUAUAAGCAUAUCUAUUUAGUCUGCCUAAAAAACAGAUUAUUACCUUUGCUGCAGCUAACAUAAAGGAGAUUAGUUCUUGUGCUGACUGAUGCAGGAUUCACAAAGACAGGCUUCGGCCGACUUUGUAAACUCGAUCUCAAAUCAAGUAAGACUACCCGCUGAACUUAAGCAUAUCAAUAAGCGGAGGA
rnacentral:misc_RNA from 1 species